rnacentral:rRNA from 1 species
UUCCGGUUGAUCCUGCCGGACCCCACUGCUAUCGGGAUAGGACUAAGACAUGCUAGUCAAGCGCUCACCAGCUAAAGGUGAGUGCGGCGCACAGCUCAGUAACACGUGGCUAACCUGCCCUUGGGACGGGGACACCCCCGGGAAACUGGGGUUAAUCCCCGAUAGACGAAGAACCCUGGAAUGAGUCUCCACCCAAAGGACACUUACACUAUGCUUGUAGGUGUUGCCCAAGGAUGGGGCCGCGCCCGAUCAGGUUGUUGGUGAGGUAACGGCUCACCAAGCCUAUAACCGGUACGGGCCGUGAGAGCGGUAGCCCGGAGAUGGGUACUGAGACAAGGACCCAGGCCCUACGGGGCGCAGCAGUCGCGAAAACUCCGCAAUGCACGAAAGUGUGACGGGGCUACCCCGAGUGCCGUCCGCUGAGGAUGGCUUUUCCUUGGUGUAACUAGCCGGGGGAAUAAGGAGAGGGCAAGACUGGUGUCAGCCGCCGCGGUAAUACCAGCAAGGGCGAAUUCCA